AACGAACGCUGGCGGCAUGCCUAACACAUGCAAGUCGAACGAGACCUUCGGGUCUAGUGGCGCACGGGUGCGUAACGCGUGGGAACCUGCCCUUAGGUUCGGAAUAACUCUCCGAAAGGGGUGCUAAUACCGGAUAAUGUCUUCGGACCAAAGAUUUAUCGCCUUUGGAUGGGCCCGCGUUGGAUUAGCUAGUUGGUAGGGUAAAAGCCUACCAAGGCGACGAUCCAUAGCUGGUCUGAGAGGAUGAUCAGCCACACUGGGACUGAGACACGGCCCAGACUCCUACGGGAGGCAGCAGUGGGGAAUAUUGGACAAUGGGCGAAAGCCUGAUCCAGCAAGGCCGCGUGAGUGAUGAAGGCCUUAGAGUUGUAAAGCUCUUUUACCCGGGAUGAUAAUGACAGUACCGGGAGAAUAAGCUCCGGCUAACUCCGUG
rnacentral:rRNA from 1 species